CAGACAUGUGGGGAGAUGGGAAGAUGGGGCCAGUGGUGGGGUCACGUUGGAGGUGGUGAAACUGACGGAGUUGUAGACUGUCACGCUGAGAUAGAGACGGCGAGAAAGCGAAGGGAAGAGUCGGGGCUCGAGCAGAGGAACGCGAGAGCUGGUUGGAAACUGGCAGUGAGGGAGAUGAAGCGUUAAAGCGGUGAACGAGAGCAGGAAGCAGCAGCGAUUCAGACAUGAUGAUGCAGACUCCCCAAGCGGAAUAUGAG